UGGGGAAUUUUGGACAAUGGGCGCAAGCCUGAUCCAGCAAUGCCGCGUGCAGGAUGAAGGCCUUCGGGUUGUAAACUGCUUUUGUACGGAACGAAAAGCCUCUCUCUAAUACAGGGGGGUGAUGACGGUACCGUAAGAAUAAGCACCGGCUAACUACGUGCCAGCAGCCGCGGUAAUACGUAGGGUGCAAGCGUUAAUCGGAAUUACUGGGCGUAAAGCGUGCGCAGGCGGUUUUGUAAGACAGUGGUGAAAUCCCCGGGCUCAACCUGGGAACUGCCAUUGUGACUGCAAGGCUGGAGUGCGGCAGAGGGGGGAUGGAAUUCCGCGUGUAGCAGUGAAAUGCGUAGAUAUGCGGAGGAACACCGAUGGCGAAGGCAAUCCCCUGGGCCUGCACUGACGCUCAUGCACGAAAGCGUGGGGAGCAAACAGGAUUAGAUACCCUGGUAGU
rnacentral:rRNA from 1 species